rnacentral:rRNA from 1 species
GACGAACGCUGGCGGCGUGCCUAAUACAUGCAAGUAGAACGCUGAAGAGAGGAGCUUACUCUUCUUGGAUGAGUUGCGAACGGGUGAGUAACGCGUAGGUAACCUGCCUUGUAGCGGGGGAUAACUAUUGGAAACGAUAGCUAAUACCGCAUAACAAUGGAUGACACAUGUCAUUUAUUUGAAAGGGGCAAUUGCCCCACUACAAGAUGGACCUGCGUUGUAUUAGCUAGUAGGUGAGGUAAUGGCUCACCUAGGCGACGAUACAUAGCCGACCUGAGAGGGUGAUCGGCCACACUGGGACUGAGACACGGCCCAGACUCCUACGGGAGGCAGCAGUAGGGAAUCUUCGGCAAUGGGGGCAACCCUGACCGAGCAACGCCGCGUGAGUGAAGAAGGUUGUCGGAUCGUAAAGCUCUGUUGUAAGUCAAGAACGGGUGUGAGAGUGGAAAGUUCACACUGUGACGGUAGCUGACCAGAAAGGGACGGCUAACUACGUG